UACGAAGGAUUCGAGCGUUAUCCGGAUUUAUUGGGUUUAAAGGGUGCGUAGGUGGAUUAAUAAGUCAGUGGUGAAAGCCCGGAGCUCAGCUCUGGAACUGCCAUUGAUACUGUUAGUCUUGAGUACAGUUGAGGUGGGCGGAAUGUGUCAUGUAGCGGUGAAAUGCUUAGAUAUGACACAGAACACCGAUUGCGAAGGCAGCUCACUAAGCUGUAACUGACACUGAGGCACGAAAGUGUGGGUAGCAAACAGG
rnacentral:rRNA from 1 species